rnacentral:rRNA from 1 species
AGAGUUUGAUCCUGGCUCAGGAUGAACGCUGGCGGCGUGCUUAACACAUGCAAGUCGAACGAACCUUUCGGGUUAGUGGCGGACGGGUGAGUAACGCGUGAGAAUCUGCCCUCAGGAGGGGGAUAACGGCUGGAAACGGCCGCUAAUACCCCAUAUGCCGAGAGGUGAAAUGAAUUUCGCCUGAGGAUGAGCUCGCGUCUGAUUAGCUAGUUGGUGGGGUAAGAGCCUACCAAGGCAUCGAUCAGUAGCUGGUCUGAGAGGAUGAUCAGCCACACUGGGACUGAGACACGGCCCAGACUCCUACGGGAGGCAGCAGUGGGGAAUUUUCCGCAAUGGGCGAAAGCCUGACGGAGCAACGCCGCGUGAGGGAUGAAGGCCUCUGGGCUGUAAACCUCUUUUAUCAAGGAAGAAGAUCUGACGGUACUUGAUGAAUAAGCCACGGCUAAUUCCGUGCCAGCAGCCGCGGUAAUACGGGAGUGGCAAGCGUUAUCCGGAAUUAUUGGGCGUAAAGCGUCCGCAGGCGGCCUUUUAAGUCUGUCGUCAAAGCGUGGAGCUUAACUCCAUUUAAGCGAUGGAAACUGGAAGGCUAGAGUGUGGUAGGGGCAGAGGGAAUUCCCGGUGUAGCGGUGAAAUGCGUAGAUAUCGGGAAGAACACCAGUGGCGAAGGCGCUCUGCUGGGCCAUAACUGACGCUCAUGGACGAAAGCCAGGGGAGCGAAAGGGAUUAGAUACCCCUGUAGUCCUGGCCGUAAACGAUGAACACUAGGUGUCGGGGGAAUCGACCCCCUCGGUGUCGUAGCCAACGCGUUAAGUGUUCCGCCUGGGGAGUACGCACGCAAGUGUGAAACUCAAAGGAAUUGACGG